rnacentral:pre_miRNA from 1 species
UCUUACGGAUGAACAAAGAAAGUGGUUUCUUGAGAUGGAAUCUACUCCCGGUAAAGAUGCUGUCGC